CAAGCUUGUGUCUAUAGGU
rnacentral:miRNA from 1 species